rnacentral:rRNA from 1 species
GAUGAACGCUGGCGGCGUGCCUAAUACAUGCAAGUCGAGCGAACAGACGAGGAGCUUGCUCCUCUGACGUUAGCGGCGGACGGGUGAGUAACACGUGGAUAACCUACCUAUAAGACUGGGAUAACUUCGGGAAACCGGAGCUAAUACCGGAUAAUAUAUUGAACCGCAUGGUUCAAUAGUGAAAGACGGUUUUGCUGUCACUUAUAGAUGGAUCCGCGCCGCAUUAGCUAGUUGGUAAGGUAACGGCUUACCUAGGCAACGAUGCGUAGCCGACCUGAGAGGGUGAUCGGCCACCCUGGAACGGAGACACGGUCCAGACUCCUACGGGAGGCAGCAGUAGGGAAUCUUCCGCAAUGGGCGAAAGCCUGACGGAGCAACGCCGCGUGAGUGAUGAAGGUCUUCGGAUCGUAAAACUCUGUUAUUAGGGAAGAACAAAUGUGUAAGUAACUAUGCACGUCUUGACGGUACCUAAUCAGAAAGCCACGGCUAACUACGUG